UAUUACCGCGUGCUACUACCGGAGACUGCAGUGGGGAAUAUUGCACAAUGGAGGAAACUCUGAUGCAGCGACGCCGCGUGAGUGGAAGAAGUAUGUUCGGUAUGUAAAGCUCUAUUAAGCAGGGAAGAAACUACGGCACCUGACUAUGCCUCCCGUAGG
rnacentral:rRNA from 1 species